CCUGACAGCGUACCUUUUGUAUAAUGGGUCAGUGAGUUAGUCUAUCAAGCAAGCUUAAGCCGUUAGGUGUAGGCGUAGCGAAAGCGAGUCUGAAUAGGGCGCAUGAGUUUGAUGGAUUAGACCCGAAACCCGGCGAUCUAGUUAUGGGCAGGUUGAAGGUGCAGUAACAUGCACUGGAGGACCGAACCCACGCAUGUUGAAAAAUGCGGGGAUGACCUGUGACUAGGGGUGAAAGGCCAAUCAAGCCGGGAGAUAGCUGGUUCUCCGCGAAAACUAUUUAGGUAGUGCCUCGGAUGAAUACCAACGGGGGUAGAGCACUGGAUGGAUGCAGGGGGCGCGAGCCUUACUAAUUCUAACCAAACUCCGAAUACCGUUGAGUAAUAUCCGGGAGACAGACUACGGGUGCUAAGGUCCGUAGUCGAGAGGGAAACAGCCCUGACCACCAGCUAAGGUCCCUAAAUCUUGUCUAAGUGGGAAAGCAUGUGAGACGGCCAUAACAACCAGGAUGUUGGCUUAGAAGCAGCCAUCAUUUAAAGAAAGCGUAACAGCUCACUGGUCUAAUAGCCAUCUUGCAGCGAAGAUGUAACGGGGCUAAAGACAUGCACCGAAGCUUCGGAUUCAAUACUUUGUAUUGAGUGGU
rnacentral:rRNA from 14 species